rnacentral:rRNA from 1 species
GUACACUCCUGCGGGAGGCAGCAGUGGGGAAUAUUGCACAAUGGGCGCAAGCCUGAUGCAGCCAUGCCGCGUGUAUGAAGAAGGCCUUCGGGUUGUAAAGUACUUUCAGCGGGGAGGAAGGCGAUAAGGUUAAUAACCUUGUUGAUUGACGUUACCCGCAGAAGAAGCACCGGCUAACUCCGUGCCAGCAGCCGCGGUAAUACGGAGGGUGCAAGCGUUAAUCGGAAUUACUGGGCGUAAAGCGCACGCAGGCGGUCUGUCAAGUCGGAUGUGAAAUCCCCGGGCUCAACCUGGGAACUGCAUUCGAAACUGGCAGGCUAGAGUCGUGUAGAGGGGGGUAGAAUUCCAGGUGUAGCGGUGAAAUGCGUAGAGAUCUGGAGGAAUACCGGUGGCGAAGGCGGCCCCCUGGACAAAGACUGACGCUCAGGUGCGAAAGCGUGGGGAGCAAACAGGAUUAGAAACCCGAGUAGUCCCAUGA